rnacentral:rRNA from 1 species
GACGAACGCUGGCGGCGUGCUUAACACAUGCAAGUCGAACGGAAAGGCCCUGCUUGCAGGGUACUCGAGUGGCGAACGGGUGAGUAACACGUGGGUGAUCUGCCCUGCACUUCGGGAUAAGCCUGGUAAACUGGGUCUAAUACCGGAUAGGAGCCAUUUUUAGUGUGAUGGUUGGAAAGUUUUUUCGGUGUAGGAUGAGCUCGCGGCCUAUCAGCUUGUUGGUGGGGUAAUGGCCUACCAAGGCGGCGACGGGUAGCCGGCCUGAGAGGGUGGACGGCCACAUUGGGACUGAGAUACGGCCCAGACGCCUACGGGAGGCAGCAGUGGGGAAUAUUGCACAAUGGGCGCAAGCCUGAUGCAGCGACGCCGCGUGGGGGAUGACGGCCUUCGGGUUGUAAACUCCUUUCGCUAGGGACGAAGCUUUUGUGACGGUACCUAGAUAAGAAGCACCGGCUAACUACGUG